rnacentral:rRNA from 1 species
CCCUACGGGAGGCAGCAGUGAGGAAUAUUGGUCAAUGGACGCAAGUCUGAACCAGCCAAGUAGCGUGCAGGAUGACGGCCCUCCGGGUUGUAAACUGCUUUUGUACGAGGGUAAACGCAGAUACGUGUAUCUGUCUGAAAGUAUCGUACGAAUAAGGAUCGGCUAACUCCGUGCCAGCAGCCGCGGUAAUACGGAGGAUUCAAGCGUUAUCCGGAUUUAUUGGGUUUAAAGGGUGCGUAGGCGGUUGG